rnacentral:tRNA from 1 species
UGCUGCCGGUGGCUUGGCUGGGUCGGUAGCCGGUGCAGCUGCCGGCGCCGCGAUCGGUUCCGUGGUGCCGAUCAUCGGCACGGCGGUGG